GCGCUGGGUUGGUUAGAGCAUGGUGCUGAUAACACCAAGUCUGCAGGUUCGAUCCCUGUAUGGGACA